UGGGGAAUUUUGGACAAUGGGCGAAAGCCUGAUCCAGCCAUGCCGCGUGCAGGAUGAAGGCCUUCGGGUUGUAAACUGCUUUUGUACGGAACGAAAAGACUCUGGUUAAUACCUGGGGUCCAUGACGGUACCGUAAGAAUAAGCACCGGCUAACUACGUGCCAGCAGCCGCGGUAAUACGUAGGGUGCAAGCGUUAAUCGGAAUUACUGGGCGUAAAGCGUGCGCAGGCGGUUAUAUAAGACAGAUGUGAAAUCCCCGGGCUCAACCUGGGAACUGCAUUUGUGACUGUAUAGCUAGAGUACGGCAGAGGGGGAUGGAAUUCCGCGUGUAGCAGUGAAAUGCGUAGAUAUGCGGAGGAACACCGAUGGCGAAGGCAAUCCCCUGGGCCUGUAUUGACGCUCAUGCACGAAAGCGUGGGGAGCAAACAGGAUUAGAUACCCUGGUAGUCCACGCCCUAAACGAUGUCAACUGGUUGUUGGGUCUUCACUGACUCAGUAACGAAGCUAACGCGUGAAGUUGACCGCCUGGGGAGUACGGCCGCAAGGUUG
rnacentral:rRNA from 1 species